UGUGUCUCCACCGACAACCAUCGAACUCUUUCUAUCCGGUUUCCUUAUCAUCUCUUUCUAUCUUGUUUCCUAAUCAUCUCUUUCUAUCUGGUUUUGUAAACCUGAAGAAUCAAAUUCCAUUGUUAUGAUUCUUCAUCGUUUUAAUAGAAACAUACUUUAUCCAAAUUAAAAUUUAGAGCUUUUUCAUAGCCAAUAGAUUACAGAUCUAUUCCAAGUAAUCCAAUCAAUCCAGGGAAGAAGAACUCAAACAAAGGUUGAAUUCAAAAUCUCUCUCUCUUCUCUCUCUUGCGUGAGAGCAGGCGCAGAUUUUUCCAGAUCUUGAGAGAGAUAGAGAGGGAGAGAAUAGUAUCGGAGAAGAAGAAGAAGACGCCGGAGGAGCUGAAACAAUGAUUACGAUCCCAUACCUUACAGCUGUAUCCACGUAUUUCAGCUACGUCUUGCUCUUCGCCUUUGGUCAGCUCUGCGAUUACUCCCGCCUUCUCUUCGAUUGGUGGCGCACCAACAAUCUCCAGGGAUAUGCACCGAUCUGCUUGGCGCAUGAGGAUUUCUACAUCAGACGAUUGUAUCAUCGUAUUCAGGUUUCUUCUCCAAUUGCGGUCCUAUCCCAUCAACUCUCGGCCGGCUUAAGAAACUCUGUCAGUUGCGUCUCAAUAACAAUAGCUUAUCUGGAGAAAUCCCAAGGUCUUUGAUUGCUGUCUCGACGCUGCAAGUUCUGGAACUAACCGCGAACAAUCCUCUCACUGGAGAUAUUCCUGUUAAUGGUUCCUAUUCACUUUUCACACCUAUCAGUUUUGCCAACACCAAGUUGAAACCCCUUCCUGCAUCUCCACCGCCUCCUAUCUCCCCUUCAAUAUUUAAACUAUGUUAUCCUCGUUAGAAAGCUAAGUACAAUUCAUGUUUACAGAUUGCUUAAGAAACAUGGUUAUUUUUUAAAUAAUGUUAAUGAGACAUGGUGUACUUUACAGGGUAGAUUAAAAUUCUAAGAAAUCUCUAAUAAAAGUGUCAGUAAAAGUUCAUCAAUUUGAAAGUUAAAGAUGUUUAGAGGCGUGUGAAACUACUGAGCAUCUUCAAAUUAUUCUAGACUGAGAUACGUAAUUGGUGGGAAAAAAUAUUUGGGUAUCACAAAGUUUCAACACAAAUCUCGGAUAGGAUCGGCGAAGAAGGCAAGUAAAUCUGUGUUUAAUUUAUAUUUAAUUGUUGAAUAUUCACAUUUAACUCUGUUUCGAUUUAUUGAUAUGUAAGAUACGAAAAUGGUGGAGGAAAAGAUUUGGAUAUCAAGAGGUUUCAACACAAAUCUCGGUUUGGAUAUCAAUAGGUUAAUCUAGUGGAUUUUAAAUUGAUCACAAUUAAGAAUUUAAAUUGAUCACGAUUUUAAAUUGAUCACGAUUAAUCUAGUGGGUAUAAAUGAAAUGGGCUUGGACUUUGAUCUGUUAGUGAUGUUUAAAUUUAGAAUCCAGUCCGUUUUUUAUUUUUAAAAAUUAACUCAAUGGUAGUCUUAUAAAUAAGUCUGAAGUUGAGGAUUUAUUUAAUAGAUGUACUUGGAAAA